AUGUGCCUACGGGGGGCAGCAGUCGGGAAUAUUGCGCAAUGGAGGAAACUCUGACGCAGUGACGCCGCGUAUAGGAAGAAGGUUUUCGGAUUGUAAACUAUUGUCGUUAGGGAAGAUAAAAGACCGUACCUAAGGAGGAAGCCCCGGCUAACUAUGUGCCAGCAGCCGCGGUAAUACAUAGGGGGCAAGCGUUAUCCGGAAUUAUUGGGUGUAAAGGGUGCGUAGACGAAAGAACAAGUUGGUUGUGAAAUCCCUCGCCUCAACUGAGGAACUGCAACCAAAACUAUUCACCUUGAGUGACGGAG
rnacentral:rRNA from 1 species